CCCAUAAUAAGGAACAAGGAAAGGAAGACCACUUUCACUAUUCUUAUUCAACAAAAUACUGAAGCUUCUGGCAAUAACAGAAGUAAAGGAAAUAAAAACCAUAGAGUUUAGAAAGGAAAAAAUAUAACCAUUCCUAGUUUCAUUGUUGUCUGUGUAAAAAAAACUCUGGGAAUCUACCAAAAAAAAAAAAAAUCAGAACUAAUACAUGAGUACAAAAAGUUCACCAAGUACAAGAUCAACACACAAAAGACAAUUUUAUUUCUACAACUAACGAUGAACCUGCAGAUGAUAAACUUGAAAAUGCUGUAUUAUUUAAAACCACUCCGAAGAACAUGAAAUAUUCAGGCAUAUAUUCAAGAACAUGUGUACAGGAUCUGAUGCUGAAAAUUAUAAAAUACCGAUUACGGUAAUUAAAGAAGAUGCAAAUAAAUUGAGAGACUUACUAUUGUCAAAGACAAAUGCAGCAGAAAUUAGUUAAAGUGGUGAAAGCAGAUUUUAUUCAGUAACGGCUGACAGAAGCUGAGCUGCACUCAGAUUUGUAAGGAGGACAGCUACAUAAAUCAAUGGAACAGAGUAGAGAAUCCAGAAAUGGACCACAGAGUUAUACCCUAGUGAUCUCUGACACCAAGAGUGAACCUUAAUGUAAAUUAUGGACUUUGAGUGAUAAUGGUGUGCCUAUGUAUGUUCAUCAAUUGUGAAAAGUAUACUACUCUGAUGAGGGGUAUUGACAACAGAAAGGUUAUGCAUAUGUGGGGGCAGGGACUAUAUGAGAACACUGUAUAUUUCAUUAAAUUUUGCUGUAAACGUAAAACUGCUCUAAAAAAUAACAUCCAUUUAUUUUUUAAUAGGCAAUCCAAGAAUACCUUGUGGUGAUAAAACUAGUCAUUAUUUUAGCUGUGAUGGAUACACAAACUUGCACAUCUGAUAAAAUUGUACAGAACUAAAUACACAGGAGCAAAUUAGUACAAGUAAAACUGGAGAAAUCUGAAUAAGAUAGUGGAUUAUAUCAAUGCCAACAAGCUGGCUGUGGUAUCGUCCUAUAGUUUUGCAGAAUGUUAUCAUUGUAAGGAACCGGGUAAAGUGUACACUGGAACUUUUGGAGUUAUUCCUUACAGCAGUGUGGAAUCUACAACGAUCACACUAUAAAUUUCAAUUAAAAAUAGUUGGCAAAUGCAAAGUCAGUCUAUGUUCUAAGUUACGAAGUUUCAUUAAAUGGUCAGUCCCAUUACUUUAUAAAUUGAAUAUAAUGCCAAUAAAAAAUUUAACGAGCUGUUAUGUUGAGUUAGAUAAAUGAUCCUACAUGGAAAAAAUAAACGCAUAAGCUAAGCUAGGAAAAUAUGGACCAGGAAGAACUCUGAGGGAGGAGCUGCUCUAUCACACGUUAAAAAUAUUGCAGAGACUGUAAUGCGACAGGAGAGGAUUGUUGCAUGUACAAGAAGAGGAG
rnacentral:lncRNA from 1 species